rnacentral:rRNA from 1 species
UAGUGCUUGCCUAAAUGAAACUAGAUACAAGCGAGCGGCGGACGGGUGAGUAACACGUGGGUAACCUGCCCAAGAGACUGGGAUAACACCUGGAAACAGAUGCUAAUACCGGAUAACAACACUAGACGCAUGUCUAGAGUUUGAAAGAUGGUUCUGCUAUCACUCUUGGAUGGACCUGCGGUGCAUUAGCUAGUUGGUAAGGUAACGGCUUACCAAGGCAAUGAUGCAUAGCCGAGUUGAGAGACUGAUCGGCCACAUUGGGACUGAGACACGGCCCAAACUCCUACGGGAGGCAGCAGUAGGGAAUCUUCCACAAUGGACGAAAGUCUGAUGGAGCAACGCCGCGUGAGUGAAGAAGGGUUUCGGCUCGUAAAGCUCUGUUGGUAGUGAAGAAAGAUAGAGGUAGUAACUGGCCUUUAUUUGACGGUAAUUACUUAGAAAGUCACGGCUAACUACGUGCCAGCAGCCGCGGUAAUACGUAGGUGGCAAGCGUUGUCCGGAUUUAUUGGGCGUAAAGCGAGUGCAGGCGGUUCAAUAAGUCUGAUGUGAAAGCCUUCGGCUCAACCGGAGAAUUGCAUCAGAAACUGUUGAACUUGAGUGCAGAAGAGGAGAGUGGAACUCCAUGUGUAGCGGUGGAAUGCGUAGAUAUAUGGAAGAACACCAGUGGCGAAGGCGGCUCUCUGGUCUGCAACUGACGCUGAGGCUCGAAAGCAUGGGUAGCGAACAGGAUUAGAUACCCUGGUAGUCCAUGCCGU